GACGAACGCUGGCGGCGUGCUUAACACAUGCAAGUCGAACGGUAACGGAGGGAGUUUGUUCUCUUCGGGAGUGUGGCAAACGGGUGUGUCACAUGUGUAACAUCUGCUUCGCAUUCUGGGAUCAGCAGUGAAAACGACGUACAAUAGCGGAGAAGACGCGGGAGGGUAGAGUGCCUGGGAGGAUAGCGCCGGGUGGGGGGGUGAUCGCGGCGUAUCACCUUGUUGGUGGGGUGUUAGCGUACCCAGGGGCUGACGGGUAGCCGGCCUGUGAGGGUGACCGGCCACACUGGGACUGAGAUACGGCCCAGGCUCCUACGGGAGGCAGCAGUGGGGAAUAUUGCACAAUGGGCGGAAGCCUGAUGCAGCAACGCCGCGUGCGGGACGACGGCCUUCGGGUUGUAAACCGCUUUUGGCUGAGAAGAAGCGUGAGUGACGGUACCUGCAGAAGAAGCACCGGCUAACUACGUG
rnacentral:rRNA from 1 species